GGAAAAUUUAUUUUUGGUCCAAUUAACUAGUUAAUUUAACUAAUUAAGUAACCUAGACAUGAAUUCUACCAUUAGAUUAAUUUAUUUUGUGUUGAAUCAAAUUUUUCAUAAUGUAAAGUAUGUAGGAAGUAAUUGAAACAUAGUGAAAUUGCCAUAUUUGGUAGCCACUUUGAUGAAUUUAUUUGGAAUUGUGUGGAUGUUGGUUGGUUGAUUGCAAAUUGC
rnacentral:misc_RNA from 1 species